rnacentral:rRNA from 1 species
UACAGAGGGGGCAAGCGUUGUUCGGAAUUACUGGGCGUAAAGGGCGCGUAGGCGGCCCGCUAAGUCGAACGUGAAAUCCCCGGGCUUAACCCGGGAACUGCGUCCGAUACUGGCAGGCUUGAAUUCGGGAGAGGGAUGUGGAAUUCCAGGUGUAGCGGUGAAAUGCGUAGAUAUCUGGGAGGAACACCGGUGGCGAAGGCGGCAUCCUGGACCGAUAUUGACGCUGAUGCGCGAAAGCCAGGGGAGCAAACGGGG